AACAACACCAUCUCUGAUGUAUGACAGGUUGAAAACAACAUCAUCUCUGAUGUAUGACAGGUUGAAAACAACAUCAUCUCUGAUGUAUGACAGGUUGAAAACAACAUCAUCUCUGAUGUAUGACAGGUUGAAAACAACAUAAUCUCUGAUGUAUGACAGGUUGAAAAUGACACCAUCUCUGAUGUAUGACAGGUUGAAAACAACAUCAUCUCUGAUGUAUGACAGGUUGAAAACAACAUCAUCUCUGAUGUAUGACAGGUUGAAAACAACAUCAUCUCUGAUGUAUGACAGGUUGAAAACAACAUCAUCUCUGAUGUAUGACAGGUUGAAAACAACACCAUCUCUGAUGUAAGACAGGUUGAAAACAACAUCAUCUCUGAUGUAUGACAGGUUGAAAACAACAUCAUCUCUGAUGUAUGACAGGUUGAAAACAACAUCAUCUCUGAUGUAUGACAGGUUGAAAACAACAUCAUCUCUGAUGUAUGACAGGUUGAAAACAACAUCAUCUCUGAUGUAUGACAGGUUGAAAACAACAUCAUCUCUGAUGUAUGACAGGUUGAAAACAACAUCAUCUCUGAUGUAUGACAGGUUGAAAACAACAUCAUCUCUGAUGUAUGACAGGUUGAAAACAACAUCAUCUCUGAUGUAUGACAGGUUGAAAACAACAUCAUCUCUGAUGUAUGACAGGUUGAAAACAACAUAAUCUCUGAUGUAUGACAGGUUGAAAAUGACACCAUCUCUGAUGUAAGACAGGUUGAAAAUGACACCAUCUCUGAUGUAUGACAGGUUGAAAACAACAUCAUCUCUGAUGUAUGACAGGUUGAAAACAACAUCAUCUCUGAUGUAUGACAGGUUGAAAACAACAUAAUCUCUGAUGUAAAACAGGUUGAAAACAACAUCAUCUCUGAUGUAAGACAGGUUGAAAACAACAUCAUCUCUGAUGUAAGACAGGUUGAAAACAACACCAUCUCUGAUGUAUGACAGGUUGAAAAUGACACCAUCUCUGAUGUAAGACAGGCCUGAAAACAACACCAUCUCUGAUGUAUGACAGGUUGAAAACAACAUCAUCUCUGAUGUAUGACAGGUUGAAAACAACA